UACGUAGGGGGCAAGCGUUGUCCGGAAUCAUUGGGCGUAAAGAGCGUGUAGGCGGCUUGGUAAGUCCGCUGUGAAAGUCCAGGGCUCAACCCCGGAAUGCCGGUGGAAACUGUCAAGCUUGAGUCCGGAAGAGGCGAGUGGAAUUCCUGGUGUAGCGGUGAAAUGCGCAGAUAUCAGGAGGAACACCAAUGGCGAAGGCAGCUCGCUGGGACGGUACUGACGCUGAGACGCGAAAGCGUGGGGAGCAAACAGG
rnacentral:rRNA from 1 species